AGGUCCUGGUAGCCACUGUUUGACUUGCCAUCUCCGACUUUCACUCCUCACGCACAGGAUCCCCAGAGGCCAUAGGCUACAGUGACUGAAGCCCUGGCAGUACCCAGUAGCAGGGUUCAGGAGACCUAGGCUCAGGCCAGCUCUGCACUUUGCGACAAGAGGGAACAGGCACGCCUGCUGCUCCCAGCUUGUGGUGCUGAUUUCAGGCAGGCACUGUCCUGCCGUGAUAAAGACAGACACUUCUGACUCAUCCAGAAGUGGUGAGUGGAGAGGAGCUGUGACUUCUGGGAACAGUGGAUGAGGAUUCACUCAGUCCCUGUGCUGGGAGUUCCAUGAAACUGUUUUGAUGCUGUGUGCACAACUGGAGAUUUCACAGGAGGGAGAAAGGAGAGCUGGGGAGACAGCCCGGGGGAUUCCUGGAACCACUUUGGGACUCCACAGUCUCCCCACUUGCAAGAAGGACUCGUUGGAGACCACCCCUUGACCUCAGACCCCCAGGUCCUAGAACCCUGAGAUGAUUAAUCACUGUCCUUCAUAAUCACCCACCCGUGGUGUUCUGUUAGAACAACAGAAAAGGGGCUAAGCUAGGCUUUCUCCCCUAGGGAGCCUUCCUGGCCUCCUGAGCCUGUGCAAAGUUCUGUAUACAAGGUAUAGUUCAGAGAUGAUGGGGUCUUCUUGAUUUCCCUGGGCUUAUUCUUGAACUCAUGUACAGAGGUGAGUGGAUGGGUGAGUGGCAUGUCCCGGUUAGCACAGGGAGGUUGAGAGGGAGAGUCCUUUCAGUCAGAGCCUGAGCCUGAGCCUGGAGGGCCACACGACAAGCUCACUGCAGACCACAGGCUCCUGUGGGCUGAGGCCAAAUCAUAACCACACAGAAGCAUACAAUACCUUAUUUAGGCAAGACUCAUCUGGGAUGAUGAGAGCAUGGUCAGGUGGGUGACAGGGGUCUCCUUACUCAUUACAAAUGGAUUGUAUCCCCCAUGUCCACCUGAAUAAAUGUCCCCAGUGUGAGGACCCCAGAAGGGCACCUACAAAGAUGAUCAGGAUUGUAGUUUAAGUAGAUGUGAGAUGCUCCAGAUGACACACCACAUUUCUUGCCUAGUCUGCUAAGGGCACAAGCUAACCCAGCCAAAGUGGAGGCAGAGGACCUGUAGACACUCAGCCAAAAUCACGUCACCCUCAAGGGUUCCAGCCAGCGAGAAGCAAGCCAGCCAGAAGCACAGUGUCAGAGCUCUAGCUGCAUCUAGGCGGGGAUGUGUCUCCAAGGUAUAAAGUGUGAAGGGUUUUCUAACAUCUGCCAUUGAUGCUUAGUGAUGCAGAACAUCACAGUGAUGUGAAGAGACAGGAGAUAGGGGCUGAAUUGUUCCUAAACUCAUAAUGGAAUCUUUACUCCAGCACCUUGGGAUAGAACUUUGCUAGCAGUAGGAGCUAGCUAUGGGAUUAAUUAAGAUAAGGUCACCUUGGAGUAGGGUAGGGUCUCAGCUAGUGAGACUAGUGUCUAUGUAGAAAGGGGAUUAUGGACCCUGGCUAGUACAUGAGGCAGAGGUGGGGGGAUGUAUCUAGGUACCAAGGAACCCAAAUAUUGCUAGAAAAUUCAGAGGCAGAAGGGAGAUCUGGAACAUAUUGGCCCACAGACACUGAGGAUCCCUUAUCUUGAGUUCUAAUUUAAGAACCCCAAGCCUGAGACAUUCUUUCUAAGUCCACUCUCCACUAGCUGUGGUAUUUGGUGACACUGGUCCAGCCAAGCCCAUGAAGUACCAAUAAGGUAGGAGAGAGUUUUAGACUGGCCUGGGCAAUCUGACGAGAACAUUGCCUCAAAAGAGGUCAGUUUUCUAAACUAACAUCACACACACACAC